UGGGGAAUCUUGCGCAAUGGGGGCAACCCUGACGCAGCCAUGCCGCGUGAAUGAUGAAGGCCUUAGGGUUGUAAAGUUCUUUUGCCCGUGACGAUGAUGACGGUAACGGGAGAAUAAGCUCCGGCUAACUUCGUGCCAGCAGCCGCGGUAAUACGAAGGGGGCUAGCGUUGUUCGGAAUUACUGGGCGUAAAGCGCGCGCAGGCGGUUCGAUAAGUUGGGGGUGAAAUCCCUGGGCUCAACCCAGGAAUGGCCUUCAAGACUGUCGAGCUAGAGGACGAGAGAGGUGAGUGGAAUUCCCAGUGUAGAGGUGAAAUUCGUAGAUAUUGGGAAGAACACCGGUGGCGAAGGCGGCUCACUGGCUCGUUUCUGACGCUGAGGCGCGAAAGCGUGGGGAGCAAACAGG
rnacentral:rRNA from 1 species